UCUGGUUCCUGUACUCAGAGGGCAUGGAGACACCGAAGACGGGGCAGACCCCUCCAGGUGUCCUAUCUCAACUUACACUUCGGGAGUCCGGCCCAGGACUGGUGAAGCCUUCACAGACCCUCUCUCUCACCUGCGUUGUCUCCGGGGGCUCUGUCACCAGCAGUUACUACUGGAACCGGAUCCACCAGCGCCCUGGAAGAGCGCUGGAGUGGAUGGGGUACUGGACGGUCAGUACCAGCUACAACCCGGCUUUCCAGGGCCGCAUCACCAUCACUGCUGACACAUCCAAGAACCAGUUCUCCCUGCAACUGAGCUCCGUGACCACCGAGGACACAGCCGUGUAUUACUGAGCCAGAAGCACAGUGAGGGAAAGUCACUGUUGGCUCAGACACAAACCUCAGUGCAGGGACCUGGAGGGGCUGGGCUGCAGGGCGCUCGAGAUCCGCAAGGGGGCGUAGAGGACCUGCCAGGGGAACUCAGAACAUCAGGAGGUGCUUAGAACCCCUUACCUACAGGAAGCAGCCCAGAAACAGGGCCAGAGCACAGAACCAGGGAGUGAGGACCUCACUGUCAGUAUCUGGGGCUUUCUCUCCCUGACACGCUGACCUCUGGGGACCUCCCUUUCUUUCCUGCCUGGGCUCUCUUUUGUUUCAGUCCCAGUGUGAUGUUUGGACCAUGUAGAUGACGCCAUCUUUUACAAUGUGACAGACGUGCACCGAGCGGUCAAUGCACAAUGCUCUGUGUCUCCCCUUACUUCUUUCU